rnacentral:rRNA from 1 species
GACGAACGCUGGCGGCGUGCUUAACACAUGCCAGUCGAACGGUAAGGCCCCAGCUUGCUGGGGUACACGAGUGGCGAACGGGUGAGUAACACGUGGGUGACCUGCCCCGCACUUCGGGAUAACCCUGGGAAACUGGGUCUAUUACCGGAUAGGCCCGCACCGGCAGGGUGUGGUGGAAGGUUUUUCGGUGUGGGAUGGGCCCGCGGCCUUUCAGCUUGUUGGUGGGGUAAUGGCCUACCAAGGCGGCGACGGGUAGCCGGCCUGAGAGGGUGGACGGCCACAUUGGGACUGAGACACGGCCCAGACUGCUACGGGAGGCAGCAGUGGGGAAUAGUGCACAAUGGGCGGAAGCCUGAUGCAGCGACGCCGCGUGGGGGAUGACGGCCUUCGGGUUGUAAACUCCUUUCACCAUCGACGAAGGUUUUCUGACGGUAGAUGGAGAAGAAGCACCGGCUAACUACGU